GAUGAACGCUGGCGGUAUGCUUUACACAUGCAAGUCGUACGAGAGUUUUUAACUCUAGUGGCGGACGGGUGAGUAACACGUAAGAAUUUGCCUUUAGGAGGGGGAUAACAACUGGAAACGGUUGCUAAUACCCCAUAUGCUUUCGAGUGAAAUGGAUUUCCGCCUAAAGAGAAGCUUGCGGCUGAUUAGCUUGUUGGUGAGGUAAUGGCUCACCAAGGCGACGAUCAGUAUCUGGUUUGAGAGGACGAUCAGACACACUGGAACUGAGACACGGUCCAGACUCCUACGGGAGGCAGCAGUGGGGAAUUUUCCGCAAUGGGCGAAAGCCUGACGGAGCAAUACCGCGUGAGGGAUGAAAGCCUAUGGGUUGUAAACCUCUUUUUUCAGGGAGGAAUCAAUGACGUGUACCUGAAGAAUAAGCAUCGGCUAACUCCGUGCCAGCAGCCGCGGUAAGACGGGGGAUGCAAGUGUUAUCCGGAAUCACUGGGCGUAAAGCGUCUGUAGGUGGUCCAAUAAGUCAACUGUUAAAUCUUGAGGCUCAACCUCAAAAUCGCAGUCGAAACUAUUAGACUAGAGUAUAGUAGGGGUAAAGGGAAUUUCCAGUGGAGCGGUGAAAUGCGU
rnacentral:rRNA from 1 species